rnacentral:rRNA from 1 species
UACGUAGGGGGCGAGCGUUGUCCGGAUUUAUUGGGCGUAAAGAGCUCGUAGGCGGCUCGGUAAGUCGGAUGUGAAACCUCCAGGCUCAACCUGGAGACGCCAUCUGAUACUGCCGUGGCUUGAGUCCGGUAGAGGAGCAGGGAAUUCCUGGUGUAGCGGUGAAAUGCGCAGAUAUCAGGAGGAACACCAGCGGCGAAGGCGGGUCUCUGGGCAGUAACUGACGCUGAGGAGCGAAAGCGUGGGGAGCGAACAGG